rnacentral:pre_miRNA from 1 species
AAAGUACUCCCUCCGUCCCAAAAUUCUUGUCUUAGAUUUGUCUAGAUACGGAUGUAUCAAGUCACAGAUACAUCCGUAUCUAGACAAAUCUAAGACAAGAAAUUUGGGACAGAGGGAGUAGUUG